GAUGAACGCUGGCGGCGUGCCUAAUACAUGCAAGUCGAGCGAACGGACGUGAAGCUUGCUUCUCUGAUGUUAGCGGCGGACGGGUGAGUAACACGUGGAUAACCUACCUAUAAGACUGGGAUAACUUCGGGAAACCGGAGCUAAUACCGGAUAAUAUUUUGAACCGCAUGGUUCAAAAGUGAAAGACGGUCUUGCUGUCACUUAUAGAUGGAUCCGCGCUGCAUUAGCUAGUUGGUAAGGUAACGGCUUACCAAGGCAACGAUGCAUAGCCGACCUGAGAGGGUGAUCGGCCACACUGGAACUGAGACACGGUCCAGACUCCUACGGGAGGCAGCAGUAGGGAAUCUUCCGCAAUGGGCGAAGGCCUGACGGAGCAACGCCGCGUGAGUGAUGAAGGUCUUCGGAUCGUAAAACUCUGUUAUUAGGGAAGAACAUAUGUGUAAGUAACUGUGCACAUCUUGACGGUACCUAAUCAGAAAGCCACGGCUAACUACGUGGCAGCAGCCGCGGUAAUACGUAGGUGGCAAGCGUUAUCCGGAAUUAUUGGGCGUAAAGCGCGCGUAGGCGGUUUUUUAAGUCUGAUGUGAAAGCCCACGGCUCAACCGUGGAGGGUCAUUGGAAACUGGAAAACUUGAGUGCAGAAGAGGAAAGUGGAAUUCCAUGUGUAGCGGUGAAAUGCGCAGAGAUAUGGAGGAACACCAGUGGCGAAGGCAACUUUCUGGUCUGUAACUGACGCUGAUGUGCGAAAGCGUGGGGAUCAAACAGGAUUAGAUACCCUGGUAGUCCACGCCGUAAACGAUGAGUGCUAAGUGUUAGGGGGUUUCCGCCCCUUAGUGCUGCAGCUAACGCAUUAAGCACUCCGCCUGGGGAGUACGACCGCAAGGUUGAAACUCAAAGGAAUUGACGGGGACCCGCACAAGCGGUGGAGCAUGUGGUUUAAUUCGAAGCAACGCGAAGAACCUUACCAAAUCUUGACAUCCUUUGACAACUCUAGAGAUAGAGCUUUCCCCUUCGGGGGACAAAGUGACAGGUGGUGCAUGGUUGUCGUCAGCUCGUGUCGUGAGAUGUUGGGUUAAGUCCCGCAACGAGCGCAACCCUUAAGCUUAGUUGCCAUCAUUAAGUUGGGCACUCUAAGUUGACUGCCGGUGACAAACCGGAGGAAGGUGGGGAUGACGUCAAAUCAUCAUGCCCCUUAUGAUUUGGGCUACACACGUGCUACAAUGGACAAUACAAAGGGCAGCGAAACCGCGAGGUCAAGCAAAUCCCAUAAAGUUGUUCUCAGUUCGGAUUGUAGUCUGCAACUCGACUACAUGAAGCUGGAAUCGCUAGUAAUCGUAGAUCAGCAUGCUACGGUGAAUACGUUCCCGGGUCU
rnacentral:rRNA from 1 species